rnacentral:sRNA from 12 species
UUUUAGGGAUAUCGGGCACGGGGUUCUCCUCCUCCGACUGUUCUCCUUCACAGUUCGUGAUCCUGCGUGCCGCACAGGCGGUAUCCCGCUUCGUGUGCAAAAAAGCUCGUC